ACUCGGCCGCCAGCGCCAUCACCCUCUCCACGGCCGCGACCGCCGCGCUGGUCCUGCGCAUCCGGGGGUCCAUCACCACCACCACGUCGCCCUCCCUGCACUUCCGCAGCGCCUGCGUCCACAUGAGACAUAUGCAGUCACAGGAUAACAUGUACAUGAUGAAUGAAGAGAGAAAGAUUGGCGAGGAGCGAGGCAGUUUGUGCAUGCUCCGGCAAUCGUCGUAGCAGCUUCUUCCCAGAAUGAUUUCCUGCUCCUGGCCUUCUCCUCAGGCACACUGGAAGGAGGUGUAUAGGUGGAUGCCCUGUAGAAGACCGG